rnacentral:rRNA from 1 species
UACGUAGGGUGCGAGCGUUAAUCGGAAUUACUGGGCGUAAAGCGUGCGCAGGCGGUUUUGUAAGCCAGAUGUGAAAUCCCCGGGCUCAACCUGGGAAUGGCAUUUGGGACUGCAAGGCUUGAGUGCGGCAGAGGAGACUGGAAUUCCCGGUGUAGCAGUGAAAUGCGUAGAUAUCGGGAGGAAUACCGAUGGCGAAGGCAGGUCUCUGGGCUGACACUGACGCUCAUGCACGAAAGCGUGGGGAGCAAACAGG